UCUAAGUCUGCGCCCCGGAUAGAAGCGGCUACCCCGCAGUUUUUGCCGCGGAGCGAAGCGGAGCGGCAAAACGAGGAGUAAUAGCGGAUAGCCGGAAAAGGC
rnacentral:misc_RNA from 1 species